GUACAGUUGGGGAGUCUUCCUCAGACUGGACAAUCAGGAUGGACGUGACAAAAACUGGACCUGGGGAGAGAGGGAAGUACUGUGCUAGCUGGCUGGAGAAGUGGGCAGUAAAAGAACUCACGGAUAUCUGUCACUCAGAGAAGAUCGCGGGCGUCUCAGGCAGCAAUGUGACUCUGCAGAGCUCCAGGAAGCUGCUGGAUAAAUACUCUCACGGCACCUGGUUUUACACUACCAACCAGAAGAUUGUGGAGUGGGACUCAAGUGGCAUUAACUACUUCAAUACUAGAUUUAAGCACAGGGUCAGACUUGAUCCUCAGAGUCAUGCACUGCACAUCUAUAACGUCGAGAAACAGGACAGUAGUACCUACCUCUUGAGGUUAUCAAACGAGGGUGGAUCUGAAGCUCAGACCAGCAUAACCUUGGAGGUGCUUGAUCCUGUACCCAACUUUACAAUAAAAAUUGAGAUGAAGAAGGAAGUGGGUGACAACUGCUAUAUGAAUCUAUCCUGUGACAUACCAGACCCUUCUGUUGACUACAUUUGGUAUAAAGACUCAGGGCCCUUUCCAAAGGAGCUCCACAGAAGCGUGCUUGAGGUCAACCUUACAUCAUCGCACAGGCAGUCCAAGUUUUACACCUGUCAAAUUAGCAAUGCUAUCAGCAGCAAAAACGACACAGUCUACUUCCAUCCACCCUGUAAUCUAGAGCGAUCCUCUGGAGUGAUCCCUAUCGUACAUUGGUUAGUGGCCUUGAUACCCAUCAUUCCUGUCCUCCUACUCACCUGAAAUGACUCUUCCAACUCAAGAAGGAAACUUCCAGGCCAGACAAGCCUGCCUUCAUCAGCAACCAUGACCCCAGUCUGGCCCAAAGCUUCAACCGUAUGGGAUGAGACCACAUACAUUAUGGAAGUCCUGAGCCAAUGACUCACUUCAUAGCCCCGUGCUCCACAAACUUAUUGAUAACUUGACUGCAUUAAGAGACUCCUGGAGGCUUGAUUGUGGGGACCUUAGACUCAUCGAUGGACCAAGCCAUGAUAUUCACGGCUGAAUGUACCUUUAGGAGGUGGGGCCCCCAUGGAGGUGCCACUGCAGUGUGCCUGCUGCUCCUUCCCUGUGCUCUGAUCCCUGUCUGCUAUCAAGUGACAAGUUUUUACUCCAUUAUACACCUUUGUCGUGAAAUUUCUGCCUUUGGAGCCAACUGAUCAUGGAUGAAACCUAGGAAAAGUCUCAUGUGCGCAAGGCAAAAGCGCUGCCAUUGCACAACCAUUGUCUUCUUCUUACUUAAGCAGCUGAUGUGACCAUCACAGUGGAUUCUUGAAUUGAUCCAAAGCUGUCAGACAGCACCAUCAGCAUGGACAGACUGGAACACAGGGAAGAGCCUGGGAUUGUGGGCCCCGUGUCUCAGUGCAGCUAAGGAAUUAAAUUGUUCUCCCUCUGAGCUUUGUUCCAACAUCUGUCAAACCUGAGGUUCCUGCUCUCCCGUUCCCCUCUCUCCACACCUUCCCUGAGGACCUGAGUUCUCCCUUCUCUUCUUGUCGCAUGGCUGCACGAGCCAUUCUUCAAGUCUUAGCUGAAUCAUGGAUCCAGUGAAAACACCAAAUGGAAGCCAAAGUUCUCUGCAGGGUCUCCUGUAAUAAACAGGCAGGAGUCCCCCAGCCCACUCUGUGAAACACCCAGAACUUCUGCUCCCUGUCUUCUCCUUUUGACUGCAGAGCUGGGAGGUCACUGAUGAAUGCUCUCUCUCUUCAAGGAGCUGGCCACUAUGGGCUGCUUUUUCCUCAAAUCACCCCAUUCUCUCCCACCUCUCCUUUUAUUGUCACAAAGAAGCAUCCCCCAUUUCCUCUGAGACAGAGGUGAUGCUAUGUGUUUACCAAACUCUUUGGUUUUCACUUUGACUGGGAGAAAAAUUAUUUUUGGCAGAAACCUUAGCAUCUGACUGGGAUCAAUUGUUUGGUUACCAAUCAAGUAAUUGACUGUCACAAAAAAGAGGCGAGCAGAAUCAGUGUGGUGGGAAGGAAGGGAGUCUGGGAAGCAGGAAGCCUGGGUUUGAGCCACUCUGGGAAAGCAGCUGCCAGUCCACACUGCACAUGCUUAAUAAAGCCUGGAUUUUGCCUGAUAUCAGAAGGCGGCCAGAGCUCCCUAAGACACCUCCCGGCCCUAAGCCCAGCCUGCAGGCCCGUCUGCACAUCAGUUCUCCUCAGCCUGUACUCUUCAGUCAGGCUGCCUCAGCCUCCUUUUGGGAAAUUGUUCUUGUUCCACUUUCCUCACUUUUCUUCAUGGAGGAGAAGUUUCUCUCAAAACACACACACACACACACACACACACACACACACACACACACUCAGGAACACAUUUCCUAGCAUCACAUAUUAGUUCUAAUACCUUGGAAACCUCAGGCAAAUACCUUGCAGGCCAUAGGCACCAACUCUUCCUGCCUCUCUCAUCUCUCAGGGUAGUAUCAGAUAUAUAAUUUUGAGGAAUCGUACAGAAAGAAAAUGUGGGUCCUUAGUUCAAAAUGCAGGAGGAAAGUACUAUCAAAGAUACUGAUGGAUAUGGUGGUAUAUGACUGUAAUCUCAGCACUCUGAGAGGCUGAGUUAAAAGGAUCUCAAAUUCAGCCCAGUCUGGACAA